CGUUCUUGACAUCUUCAGCCACCUCCUUCCUAGUCAUAAGCUUCUCCGGAUAAGCAUUUGUGCCCACGGCCGUUUCACAGUGUUGCCUUCCCAAGCCCACUGCCUGCCUGCUCUCCAAUGGUUUACCUGCAACGCCUUGGACCCCUUACCAUCUGGACCACAACCUUCAUUGCAUCUCCAGACUGAACUGAGCCCUCCUCCUUCAGAGCAACUUCCACCAAUAAAGACAAUACCAGAACUACUCAAGCCCAACUGUUGGCUCUUACAAUGAACUCUUAAAACCAUCAUGUCUCUGAGUUCUGCCUCCAUCUGGGUCAGAAAGCUAAAUGAAAACACGAUGUUGGGUUUUGGAAUAACUUUCAAUGUUGCCUUUACUGUAAAAAUAUUAUUUGUAACUAAGCAGACAGCAUUACAAUGUUUGGACUGGAUUUUAUUAACAAAUAAAUUCUAAAUUCGAAUUUA